UUGUUGGUAAGGUAAAAGCUUACCAAGGCUUCGAUCAGUAGCUGGUCUGAGAGGACGACCAGCCACACUGGGACUGAGACACGGCCCAGACUCCUACGGGAGGCAGCAGUGGGGAAUUUUGGACAAUGGGGGCAACCCUGAUCCAGCCAUGCCGCGUGAGUGAAGAAGGCCUUCGGGUUGUAAAGCUCUUUCAGCCGGAACGAAACGGUUACGGUCAAUACCCGUGACUACUGACGGUACCGGAAGAAGAAGCACCGGCUAACUACGUGCCAGCAGCCGCGGUAAUACGUAGGGUGCAAGCGUUAAUCGGAAUUACUGGGCGUAAAGCGUGCGCAGGUGGUUUUGUAAGUCAGAUGUGAAAUCCCCGGGCUUAACCUGGGAACUGCGUUUGAAACUACAAGGCUAGAGUGUGGCAGAGGGGGGUGGAAUUCCGCGUGUAGCAGUGAAAUGCGUAGAUAUGUGGAGGAACACCGAUGGCGAAGGCAGCCCCCUGGGUCAACACUGACGCUCAGGCACGAAAGCAUGGGGAGCAAACAGGAUUAGAUACCCUGGUAGUCCAUGCCCUAAACGAUGUCAACUAGUUGUCGGGCCUUAACGGGCUUGGUAACGUAGCUAACGCGUGAAGUUGACCGCCUGGGGAGUACGAUCGCAAGAUUAAAACUCAAAGGAAUUGACGGGGACCCGCACAAGCGGUGGAUUAUGUGGAUUAAUUCGAUGCAACGCGAAAAACCUUACCUACCCUUGACAUGUAUCGAAGCCCGCAGAGAAGCGGGUGUGCCCGAAAGGGAACGAUAACACAGGUGCUGCAUGGCUGUCGUCAGCUCGUGUCGUGAGAUGCUGGGUUAAGUCCCGCAACGAGCGCAACCCUUGUCAUUAAUUGCCAUCAUUUAGUUGGGCACUUUAAUGAGACUGCCGG
rnacentral:rRNA from 1 species